UACGAAGGGGGCUAGCGUUGCUCGGAAUCACUGGGCGUAAAGCGCACGUAGGCGGCUUUCUAAGUCAGGGGUGAAAUCCUGGAGCUCAACUCCAGAACUGCCUUUGAUACUGGAGAGCUCGAGUCCGGAAGAGGUGAGUGGAACUGCGAGUGUAGAGGUGAAAUUCGUAGAUAUUCGCAAGAACACCAGUGGCGAAGGCGGACUCACUGGUCCGGUACUGACGCUGAGGUGCGAAAGCGUGGGGAGCAAACAGG
rnacentral:rRNA from 1 species